rnacentral:rRNA from 1 species
UCGUAUGCUUGUCUCAAAGAUUAAGCCAUGCAUGUUUAAGUGCAUGCCGAAACAAGGCUAAACCGCGAAUGGCUCAUUAAAUCAGUUGUGGUUCCUUAGAUCGUACCAAGUUACUUGGAUAACUGUGGCAAUUCUAGAGCUAAUACAUGCUACCGAUGCUUCGUCUUUGCGGACGGAGAGCUUUUAUUAGAACAGGGCCAACGGAUUCGCCUCGUGCGAAUUCUGAAACUCCUGGUGACUCUGAAUAACUUUGGGCUGAUCGCACGGUCUAGUACCGGCGACUUAUCUUUCAAGUGUCUGCCUUAUCAACUGUCGAUGGUAGGUUACGCGCCUACCAUGGUUGUCACGGGUGACGGGGAAUCAGGGUUCGAUUCCGGAGAGGGAGCCUGAGAAACGGCUACCACAUCCAAGGAAGGCAGCAGGCGCGCAAAUUACCCACUCCCGGCACGGGGAGGUAGUGACGAAAAAUAACGAUACGGGACUCAUAUGAGGCUCCGUAAUCGGAAUGAGUACACUUUAAAUCCUUUAACGAGGAUCCACUGGAGGGCAAGUCUGGUGCCAGCAGCCGCGGUAAUUCCAGCUCCAGUAGUCUAUGCCAAAGUUGUUGCGGUUAAAAAGCUCGUAGUUGGAUCUCGGUUCGAGACGGUUGGACCGCCUUUCGGGCGGUUUUCCUGACCGCUGCGAACAGAAUGAACUGGCACGUCCGGCGGUGCUCUUCAUCGAGUGUCGUCGGGUGGCCGGUGCGUUUACUUUGAAAAAAUUAGAGUGCUCAAAGCAGGCGGAGAUGCCAGAAUAAUAGUGCAUGGAAUAAUGAAAUAGGAUCUCGGUUCUAUUUUGUUGGUUCUCGGAACGCGAGAUAAUGAUUAAUAGGAACAGACGGGGGCAUUCGUAUUGCGACGUUAGAGGUGAAAUUCUUGGAUCGUCGCAAGACGGACUACUGCGAAAGCAUUUGCCAAGAAUGUUUUCAUUAAUCAAGAACGAAAGUUAGAGGUUCGAAGGC